CGUAGGGACCGAGCGUUGUCCGGAAUCAUUGGGCGUAAAGCGCGUGUAGGCGGCCAUUUAAGUCCUGCGUGAAAUCUUGCGGCUCAACCGCAAGCGGUCGUGGGAAACUGGGUGGCUAGAGUGCGGGAGAGGAGAGUGGAAUUCCUGGUGUAGCGGUGGAAUGCGCAGAUAUCAGGAAGAACACCCGUGGCGAAGGCGGCUCUCUGGACCAUAACUGACGCUGAGGCGCGAAAGCUAGGGGAGCAAACAGG
rnacentral:rRNA from 1 species